UAAUUUCACCUUUCCACUUCUGGAAAUGUUCUCCUCCAUCUUCUAGACACACUUGAUAUUGAUAGUGGCUGCAAGUUAAAGCAAAGGAGCCUUCUUUUGCAGUUUUGAUUUAAGAGUAGCACUCAGUCAAAUUCAGAGCGUCACCUAAGUAGGUCACAGCUAUGGCCGUGAUCAAAACAUCUGCUCAUUUGAGAAAGGAGUUUGGAUAAAUCAUGGAGAAUAACAUACAGCUAGCAUCCAAAGAGGUUCUGGGAAGCAGUUUCAUAAAUCAGGAAGAGUAGGCAGGAUGUUGCUCAGGCUGUUCACAGCAGGAGUGAAGAGAUGUCAGAUAUUUUUUCGAGAGGUGGUAGGAUGAAUCUGAGGAACUCUAAACUUGAUAGAUGUGUCCUCUUUGAGAAAGCAGUAUAGAAAAGAUCUGGUAGAAAUUAGAGGCAUGCAUGGGGUGUCGAAUACAGAUGAUGUUGAGAAUUCAUUUCAUUUAUAUAGUGCCUUUCCCAUGCUCUUAGAGGGUGGUAGUAUUCGAGUACUGAGUUCAUUAUUCUGGUUUUCUAAAGGUGUAUUGCAUUGCAGUAAGUCUGAAAAAAAUAUGGUUUCAAAGAAGAAAAGUUGGGUGUGGCAAGGAUUUGUUUCAGAAAACAAUGCCUUUGAAUGCAAAAUCUGUAAUGCAACAGUUUGGUUAGGUCAAUGGUAAAUCAUGUAAGUUGGAUUGCCAAGCCAUUCAACACAGCAGCAGAAUGAUGCAAGCAAGUGCCAAUAACUGCAUUCUAUAACCCAGCUAAAAAAUGAGAAGAAAGAACGGUCACAAAAAUGUCAAUAAUGGACACGCUGCCUCUCUGCUCUGUGUAAGGCAGUUUCUUCAGAGAAAUGAUGAGCUACGUUGAGCAUGCGUAUGAAGUCUACUCCUGGAAAACCAUUACCAAGAGGGCAACACAGCAAUAU